GCCGUCGAUAUGAACUCUUGGGCGGUAUCAGCCUGUUAUCCCCGGAGUACCUUUUAUCCGUUGAGCGAUGGCCCUUCCAUUCAGAACCACCGGAUCACUAUGACCUGCUUUCGCACCUGCUCGCGCCGUCACGCUCGCAGUCAAGCUGGCUUAUGCCAUUGCACUAACCUCCUGAUGUCCGACCAGGAUUAGCCAACCUUCGUGCUCCUCCGUUACUCUUUAGGAGGAGACCGCCCCAGUCAAACUACCCACCAGACACUGUCCGCAACCCGGGUAACGGGUCCACGUUAGAACAUCAAACAUUAAAGGGUGGUAUUUCAAGGUCGGCUCCAUGCAGACUGGCGUCCACACUUCAAAGCCUCCCACCUAUCCUACACAUCAAGGCUCAAUGUUCAGUGUCAAGCUAUAGUAAAGGUUCACGGGGUCUUUCCGUCUUGCCGCGGGUACACUGCAUCUUCACAGCGAGUUCAAUUUCACUGAGUCUCGGGUGGAGACAGCCUGGCCAUCAUUACGCCAUUCGUGCAGGUCGGAACUUACCCGACAAGGAAUUUCGCUACCUUAGGACCGUUAUAGUUACGGCCGCCGUUUACCGGGGCUUCGAUCAGGAGCUUCGCUUGCGCUGACCCCAUCAAUUAACCUUCCGGCACCGGGCAGGCGUCACACCGUAUACGUCCACUUUCGUGUUUGCACAGUGCUGUGUUUUUAAUAAACAGUUGCAGCCAGCUGGUAUCUUCGACUGACUUCAGCUCCAUGAGUAAAUCACUUCACCUACGUGUCAGCGUGCCUUCUCCCGAAGUUACGGCACCAUUUUGCCUAGUUCCUUCACCCGAGUUCUCUCAAGCGCCUUGGUAUUCUCUACCUGACCACCUGUGUCGGUUUGGGGUACGAUUUGAUGUUACCUGAUGCUUAGAGGCUUUUCCUGGAAGCAGGGCAUUUGUUGCUUCAGCACCGUAGUGCCUCGUCGUCACGCCUCAGUGUUAAAGUGAACCGGAUUUACCUGGAACACACACCUACACGCUUAAACCGGGACAACCGUCGCCCGGCCAACAUAGCCUUCUCCGUCCCCCCUUCGCAGUAACACCAAGUACGGGAAUAUUAACCCGUUUCCCAUCGACUACGCCUUUCGGCCUCGCCUUAGGGGUCGACUCACCCUGCCCCGAUUAACGUUGGACAGGAACCCUUGGUCUUCCGGCGAGCGGGCUUUUCACCCGCUUUAUCGUUACUUAUGUCAGCAUUCGCACUUCUGAUACCUCCAGCAACCCUCACAGGCCACCUUCACAGGCUUACAGAACGCUCCCCUACCCAACAACACCUGAGUGUCGCUGCCGCAGCUUCGGUGCAUGGUUUAGCCCCGUUACAUCUUCCGCGCAGGCCGACUCGACCAGUGAGCUAUUACGCUUUCUUUAAAUGAUGGCUGCUUCUAAGCCAACAUCCUGGCUGUCUGGGCCUUCCCACAUCGUUUCCCACUUAACCAUGACUUUGGGACCUUAGCUGGCGGUCUGGGUUGUUUCCCUCUUCACGACGGACGUUAGCACCCGCCGUGUGUCUCCCGUGAUAACAUUCUCCGGUAUUCGCAGUUUGCAUCGGGUUGGUAAGCCGGGAUGGCCCCCUAGCCGAAACAGUGCUCUACCCCCGGAGAUGAAUUCACGAGGCGCUACCUAAAUAGCUUUCGGGGAGAACCAGCUAUCUCCCGGUUUGAUUGGCCUUUCACCCCCAGCCACAGGUCAUCCGCUAAUUUUUCAACAUUAGUCGGUUCGGUCCUCCAGUUAGUGUUACCCAACCUUCAACCUGCCCAUGGCUAGAUCACCGGGUUUCGGGUCUAUACCCUGCAACUUAACGCCCGGUUAAGACUCGGUUUCCCUCCGGCUCCCCUAUACGGUUAACCUUGCUACAGAAUAUAAGUCGCUGACCCAUUAUACAAAAGGUACGCAGUCACACAGGUAAACCUGUGCUCCCACUGCUUGUACGUACACGGUUUCAGGUUCUUUUUCACUCCCCUCGCCGGGGUUCUUUUCGCCUUUCCCUCACGGUACUGGUUCACUAUCGGUCAGUCAGGAGUAUUUAGCCUUGGAGGAUGGUCCCCCCAUAUUCAGACAGGAUACCACGUGUCCCGCCCUACUCAUCGAGCUCACAGCACAUGCGCUUUUGUGUACGGGGCUGUCACCCUGUAUCGCGCGCCUUUCCAGACGCUUCCACUAACACACAUGCUGAUUCAGGCUCUGGNNNNNNNNNNNNNNNNNNNNUCUCGGUUGAUUUCUUUUCCUCGGGGUACUUAGAUGUUUCAGUUCCCCCGGUUCGCCUCAUUAACCUAUGGAUUCAGUUAAUGAUAGUGUGACGAAUCACACUGGGUUUCCCCAUUCGGAAAUCGCCGGUUAUAACGGUUCAUAUCACCUUACCGGCGCUUAUCGCAGAUUAGCACGUCCUUCAUCGCCUCUGACUGCCAGGGCAUCCACCGUGUACGCUUAGUCGCUUAACCUCACAACCCGAAGAUGUUUCUUACGAUUCAUCAUCGUGUUGCGAAAAUUUGAGAGACUCACGAACAACUUUCGUUGUUCUGUGUUUCAAUUUUCAGCUUGAUCCAGAUUUUUAAAGAGCAAA
rnacentral:rRNA from 1 species